UAGCCGUAAACGAUACUCGCUAGGUGUCGGCCACGGUGCGACCGUUGUCGGUGCCGUAGGGAAGCCGUGAAGCGAGCCACCUGGGAAGUACGGCCGCAAGGCUGAAACUUAAAGGAAUUGGCGGGGGAGCACCACAACGGGUGGAGCUUGCGGUUUAAUUGGAUUCAACGCCGGAAAUCUUACCGGGACCGACAGCAACAUGAAGGCCAGGCUGAAGACUUUGCCGGAUUAGCUGAGAGGAGGUGCAUGGCGU
rnacentral:rRNA from 1 species